UACGGGGGGAGCAAGCGUUGUUCGGAUUUACUGGGCGUAAAGGGCGCGUAGGCGGCCACCGCAAGUCGACUGUGAAAUCUCCGGGCUUAACUCGGAAAGGUCAGCCGAUACUGCGGGGCUAGAGUGCAGAAGGGGCAACUGGAAUUCUCGGUGUAGCGGUGAAAUGCGUAGAUAUCGAGAGGAACACCAGUGGCGAAGGCGGCGACCUGGACGGACACUGACGCUGAGACGCGAAAGCGUGGGGAGCGAACAGG
rnacentral:rRNA from 1 species